AGCCACUCUCCUUCCUGAGGGAGAAGGUGGGCCCUCACAUGAUUGCAAGGAAAUCCUAGAAGUUUAUGCCAGCAGACCUGACUUGAGAGACCUGUCAAUCCUGGACCCGCCUUGGGUUCUGUACACCAAUGGCACCAGCCUGAUGAAACAAGGACAAUGACUGUUAGGAUAUGCAGUAGUCACAGAAGAAACCAUCAUUGAGGCUAGCUCUCUGCCGUCACCGGUCUGCUCAACAGGCCAAACUAUAUGCUCUAAUCCGGGCCCUCCAGCUGUCAAAAGGCUGUUCUGCUUGCUCAGAUGUCAAUGCUGCCCUUGGACAUAAACAAAAACUUCCAGGAAUACAGUUAAAAGGCACUCUACCCUUUGAACAUUUAGAAGUGGACUUUACUGAGAUGAAACCCUGCUGACACUAUCACUAUUUACUGGUCAUGUUAGAGUUGCAGGUGUCACUCCCUGGAUCCACCACGUGAGGGUGAAGACAGC
ensembl:lncRNA